rnacentral:rRNA from 1 species
GUGGGGAAUUGUUCGCAAUGGGCGCAAGCCUGACGACGCAACGCCGCGUGGAGGAUGAAGAUCUUCGGGUCGUAAACUCCUUUCGAUCGAGACGAAUGGCCCUUGGGCUAACACCCUGAGGGAGUGACGGUACCGAGAGAAGAAGCCCCGGCUAACUCCGUGCCAGCAGCCGCGGUAAUACGGGGGGGGCAAGCGUUGUUCGGAAUUACUGGGCGUAAAGGGCUCGUAGGCGGCCAACUAAGUCAUACGUGAAAUCCCUCGGCUUAACCGGGGAACUGCGUCUGAUACUGGAUGGCUUGAGUUCGGGAGAGGGAUGCGGAAUUCCAGGUGUAGCGGUGAAAUGCGUAGAUAUCUGGAGGAACACCGGUGGCGAAGGCGGCAUCCUGGACCGAUACUGACGCUGAGGAGCGAAAGCCAGGGGAGCAAACGGGAUUAGAAACCCCAGUAGUCC